AACGAACGCUGGCGGCGUGCCUAAUACAUGCAAGUCGAACGCACGAAGUUGGAAAGCUUGCUUUCUAACCGAGUGAGUGGCGGACGGGUGAGUAACACGUGGGUAACCUGCCCAUUAGAGGGGGAUAACACUUGGAAACAGGUGCUAAUACCGCAUAAUUCUUUUGACCGCAUGGUCGGAAGAUGAAAGACGCUUUCGGGUGUCACUAAUGGAUGGACCCGCGCAGCAUUAGUUAGUUGGUGAGGUAAUGGCUCACCAAGACCGUGAUGCUUAGCCGACCUGAGAGGGUGAUCGGCCACACUGGGACUGAGACACGGCCCAGACUCCUACGGGAGGCAG
rnacentral:rRNA from 1 species